AACGCGAAGAACCUUACCUGGCCUUGACAUCUACGGAACCUUGCAGAGAUGCAGGGGUGCCUUCGGGAACCGUAAGACAGGUGCUGCAUGGCUGUCGUCAGCUCGUGUCGUGAGAUGUUGGGUUAAGUCCCGCAACGAGCGCAACCCUUGUCCUUAGUUGCCAUCAUUCAGUUGGGAACUCUAAGGAGACCGCCGGUGACAAACCGGAGGAAGGUGGGGAUGACGUCAAGUCAUCAUGGCCUUUAUGGCCAGGGCUACACACGUGCUACAAUGGCAGGUACAGAGGGAAGCCAACGCGCGAGCGGGAGCCAAUCCCGAAAAGCCGUCUCAGUUCGGAUUGCACUCUGCAACUCGAGUGCAUGAAGUCGGAAUCGCUAGUAAUCGCGGAUCAGCACGCCGCGGUGAAUACGUUCCCGGGCCUUGUACACACCGGAGUA
rnacentral:rRNA from 1 species